rnacentral:rRNA from 1 species
GACGAACGCUGGCGGCGUGCUUAACACAUGCAAGUCGAACGGAAAGGCCCUGCUUUUGUGGGGUGCUCGAGUGGCGAACGGGUGAGUAACACGUGAGUAACCUGCCCUUGACUUUGGGAUAACUUCAGGAAACUGGGGCUAAUACCGGAUAGGAGCUCCUGCUGCAUGGUGGGGGUUGGAAAGUUUCGGCGGUUGGGGAUGGACUCGCGGCUUAUCAGCUUGUUGGUGGGGUAGUGGCUUACCAAGGCUUUGACGGGUAGCCGGCCUGAGAGGGUGACCGGCCACAUUGGGACUGAGAUACGGCCCAGACUCCUACGGGAGGCAGAGGUGGAGAAUAUUGCACAAUGGGCGGAAGCCUGAUGCGGCAACGCCGCGUGCGGGAUGACGUCCUUCGGGUUGUAAACCGCAUUCGCCUGUGACGAAGCGUGAGUGACGGUAAUGGGUGAAGAAGCACCGGCUAACUACGUG